rnacentral:rRNA from 1 species
CUUUCCUUGACGACGACUGGCGCACGGGUGAGUAACGCGUAUCCAACCUUCCCAUGACCACGGGAUAACCCGUUGAAAGACGGCCUAAUACCGUAUGACGUCGUUUGCCGACAUCGAAAGACGACCAAAGGUUUGGCGGUGAUGGAUGGGGAUGCGUCUGAUUAGCUUGUUGGCGGGGUAACGGCCCACCAAGGCUACGAUCAGUAGGGGUUCUGAGAGGAAGGUCCCCCACAUUGGAACUGAGACACGGUCCAAACUCCUACGGGAGGCAGCAGCG